rnacentral:rRNA from 1 species
GCCGUUCUCAGUUCGGACUGUAGGCUGCAACUCGCCUACACGAAGCUGGAAUCGCUAGUAAUCGCGGAUCAGCACGCCGCGGUGAAUACGUUCCCGGGCCUUGUACACACUGCCCGUCACACCAUGAGAGUCUGUAACACCCAAAGCCGGUGGGAUAACCUUUAUAGGAGUCAGCCGUCUAAGGUAGGACAGAUGAUUAGGGUGAAGUCGUAACAAGGUAGC